GUCUUUUUGGAGAUGUUUGAUGCAAUUGGAACGAUACAAACAAAAUUAGCAUAGCCCUAUAAAAGAUGGCAUGCACAAAUUAGAAAGUGAUUUGAUUUUC